rnacentral:rRNA from 1 species
CCUACGGGCGGCAGCAGUGAGGAAUAUUGGUCAAUGGCCGGAAGGCUGAACCAGCCAAGCCGCGUGAAGGACGAAGGUGCCAAGCAUUGUAAACUUCUUUUGUCAAGGGACAAAAUCAGGCUCGAGAGCCUGACCGAGGGUACUUGAAGAAAAAGCAUCGGCUAACCCCGUGCCAGCAGCCGCGGUAAUACGGAGGAUGCGAGCGUUAUCCGGAUUUAGUGGGUUUAAAGGGUGCGUAGGCGGACGGUUAAGUCAGAGGUAAAAGCCCGGGGCUCAACCCCGGCGAGCCGUUGAAACUGGCUGGCUUGAGAUGUCGAGAGGUAUGCGGAAGGCGGAGUGUAGCGGUGAAAUGCUUAGAUAGUGCGCAGAACUCCGAUUGCGAAGGCAGCAUACCGGCGGCGAUCUGACGCUGAGGCACGAAAGCGUGGGUAUCGAACAGGAUUAGAUACCCUAGUAGUC